rnacentral:lncRNA from 1 species
GACGUGUUUGUUUCCUGCUCUCAGGAAAAUGUUACUUGAAAGAGGAAUUGAGGCUAAAUGUGUAUUUCCAAAUUUGCAUCUCCACACCUUCCUCAUGCCUAUCUUGUCUCCUUUAGACUCUCAACCAGUUGCUAGUUUAACAUACCCCCCUUCUUCUUACAUAUCCCCUUAGAAUUGGAUCCCCCACUCUGAGGUCAUACCAGAAAAUUUUCCUUUGCUGUAAAUAUCAGUGUAAUUGCAUCAUCAAAAGCCCCUAAAGCAGAUGGUCUGGGUUAAAGCAAAAAGACAUUUAUGCCAGUGAAACAGUAUUAUAGUUAUUAGUGCAGUGUGUUGGCAGUUUCUGUCAGCAAUUUUUGCAACCAUGUAAUAUAUGAAAGGAUAAAAACACUAUUUACUGUGAUUUGCUUGCCACAUAAAGAUGCCAGAGUGAUAUAGUACCAAAAACAGGAAGAAAAGCCCUCCAAGUAGUCUUUUGUCCUGUCUUUUGCACUUUUCCACGUUCUUGGUAGAUACACUAAAUCGAAGAACCUUAUGCUCCUUAUGGGGACUCGGACACCUCCUUAUCCAGCAGCCUCCAGGCAGCCUGAGCCAUCCUGGAUGAUGAUUAUGAUCUUCAAGAUUCCUUCCAACCCAAGCCAUCUUUGUGAUCCUUGGGCAUACAGAACCAUCAGCUUCAUAAGGAGCUGGAUGCCAACGGUUGUGUGCAUCCAGGAGCUCAGAGGAAUCAGCAAAUCUCCUCCAGCAGAGCUACGAAUCCCCAGUCCAGUUCAUUCAGGCGCAGCGGGACCGCCGGGAAUUAAUCCGAGGGGGAAUGCUGUGAAUUCCUGCGCUCUCUCUCUUUGCUGGGCGCAGCUGGUGGCGGGGCCACUGCCAGAUGAAAGCAGGGCUGUCAGCUCCCAGCAGCCUGGCUCCAGCUGCAUUCCAGGGCACGGACUGGCCUCAGCUGGUCCUCGGGUGCCGCUUCCCUCUGCCAGGUUACCAAGCCCUGGGGUCUCGGGGUGCAGGUGAACACUGCUCACCUGUUUACUCCUCUGGAGAGGUGAGGAAUGAUCAGAACAUGCAACUCCUUCUGCACAGUGGAGGAAUUAUUUACUGCAGAUACAGACUGACAAUAAAUUAGUACACCCCCAAGAGUCUGGAAGGAAC